rnacentral:lncRNA from 1 species
GCUUCACCCAGUAUGAAAGUCAAUCAAUUUCCUGUUAGCAAGAAAAAAAAACCCAAAAGAUUCUAGCAAGCUUCUUUUGUCCAUACGGACUUUUUAUGGCCAACUAUUCAAGUAUAACAAGUCAUUUAUUCUCUACAUUUAUUAAGCUUAAGACAGACGGUCUGCACUCAUCUCGCUCAGAGGCUGGAAAUCUUACCCUUGUCCAAAUGCUCGCUGUACCAAAAAACCGCUGGUUCUGCUUGGUGACCAGAGAUUUAGUCGUUCAUAAUGGACAGUUCGUCGUGUGGGAGUUAUAAGUGCCUGUCACAUGGCUGGAAAUUUUUAUACUCUUCAUUGCUAGUUCGGCUUCCAUGGGGAUCUUUUCCAUAAAAUAAUAGGGUCGUAUUGUUAAUGUGAAAUAUUUAAGCGUAGGCGGUAAGUCGGGCGUCAGGUUUACUUCUGGCUUAGUACGUGAAAAAUCCCCCGACUCUGCCCUUUAAUUAACAGCUUAUUCCCACAAAAUAUAUGACUGCAGUAAAAUUGUUUGUGAGUUCCUUCUCUAUAAAUUUUUCAAUAAAAUAAAGUGAUUUUAUUUUUUGAAUUUCAUUUGCUUGAAAUAAAGUUUUAAAUACACGCAGUAAUAAUCAAAAUGAGCCGUUAUAAUAUGGGAAGAAAACUAUCUUUGAUUUUUUUCGAACUGACUUUACUGAACACAUUUUCUUGUGCGUUUGAAGAUACUGUGAAUCAAGUUUGGAAGUCUUUUAGUGAUUGCACGGAUAACAAAGCAAAUAUGUUCUGGCCGUGUUUAGAAAAUGAGUCAAUAUCGAUUCUCUAUAAAGUUGAGGAAAGUGCGAAGAAUAUUCCGAUCUUAGGUAACUCAGUGGAACUGAUUAGAGAAAAUUCUAAUGAAUUAAAGGACCAGGAUACAUUUGCAGUUACACCCAGGUCAUUCAAAAAUCGCGAAAGAAAACUUUCACUUCGAUCCGGAGAUUUAUCAUUCACAAGGAUACUCUUGGAUUUUUUCAAGAAUCGAUCGUUGCAACUUAGAAUUCCUAUUUUGUGGUCUGAAUCUCUCUGGAACUCAGCAGUUGAAGGCAGAGGGAAGAAAGACAAGGGCCACUCUAUGCUGGCGGGUUGUUUACUGGCUGGACUUAUGAUGACGAUCGCCUCGUUGGCCAUGCUUUCGGGGAAAGCUUUGAUGACGAGCUUAAUCGCCCUCACACUGGCCGCCCUUUCGAACCGAAAAGGGGGCUCGGCCGCCCUCCAUGGCGCCACCACCUACGAAGUCAUCAACGUCCCAGCACAUCAUCAUUGAGCACCUGCUUACACUUAGGACCGCAUUCAUGGUCACUUAUUUAACAGCUCCGUUUCUGUAGGAGGCUCAAUAUUAACUGGGGACUCUGAGGAUCUCCUAAAAUCUCCCAUAACCUCAAUGUAAACCAUAUCGACGAUGCAACUACCAGACCACGUGCGUCGGUUAUUUGCAGCGUUGCAGAUUUCUUGUCCUACUUUAUUUUUUAAUUAAAAAAAAACUACUCAACAACAAUCCUUGAAAACUCCCAUGACUUGUCUUCUCUGUUCGAAGGAAACUCUGUGAAAACUUCAAGAGAUGAAAUUGAUUUGUUCUUCUUCAAAAAAAUAAAAUGGGAGCAGUGAUUUUUAAACACAGCAAACAAGAUACGUGGUCGGGUAGUUUCACCGUCGGUAUGGAGAUUUUAGGAGAUCCUUAGUGUAGCACCAUCAAAUGAACGAUUGUAAAAAAUUUCGAGUAAAUUCAACGUGGUAACUUCGGAAAUAGAUCCUUGCAAAGGAUGCCAAGAUUUUCCACUUAAAAAUACUAAAAAUCUGGAAGAAAAUAUUUUAUGACAUCGAAAAGCUUUAAGGUAGGUGUAAACCUAUCAAGAUUGUCAAAACAUGGAGGGUCUUUUCGUUUGUAUACAUUAUUUUAUAGAGGGAAACCAUGGUAAACUCCUUAGAGUGUCUAAGUCUAAAAUUAUGUCACUGAAUUUUACUCGAGAUUCUUUAAAAUUAUCCUUCCUACGAUGCGAUGACAAGGACUUCCUGAUACCUCCCUUAAUCACAAGUUAAAACAUAAUGAGAAUCCCUAUGGAAAGAAGCUGUUCAAGGAAACGACGACAUUCCUAGCUUAUACAUAAACGCAUAUAAUUAAUUCAUACUAAUCACAAUUAUUGCAACAGUUCAGAUAAAAGUAACACACAUUUGUUUUCUUUCUCAUAAUGUUUGUACAUAUCACGCAAAUGUCACACAAUUGAGACUUAUUAACUUUUGCACUUUUAUGUAUAAUAGUUUUACACUGGCAUUCUCCGCUGCACGGUUUAGUCACAGUGCGGGUCUUUUUUAAUAAAAUUGUCUAAAAUUUUUGCACACUUAGUACCGCGUAACGUUGAAGACUUGAUUGCAAUUGUUAACUUAUACUGAAAAUUUUACAAAGUUUACGAGCUGUCUCCGAGGUUUGAUCAAUUUUGCGAGACUUAAGAAAUUAUUUUAAGGGGGUUUGUUUGAGCUAAGAAACAUCAAUCAUGUCAACGACUAUUUCCGUGAUGAAAUGUGAAAUAAAUUUUGAAAGAUUUCACAAAAUGUUUUUAAUAAAAUAAUUAUCUGAUGAUUCAUUAUAAAAUUUUAUUUACAGCCUUACCUCUAUCAAAAACAAUUGAACAUGAAAGUAUCAAGGAGUUUUUCAUAAAAAAUAAUCAAGUUAGUUUCAGUUAUCAAUCUCUAUUAUGAUUAUGGACCCUGAGACCCAUACGAGUAAAUGUAUGACAGGGCACAUGUUGCAAUAGAGAAAAUUCAUGUGAAUUUUAACACGUCCUGGAUGUAUUAAAAUCAUUCAAAACCGUCUUAAUUGUGACCAAUGGGCCCUAAGAUUAUUAAAAUACACCGUUGUAGAGUUUAUGUCUCAAUGAAGAUCAUACUUUUCUAUUUAAAUACAUCCGACUUUGAUUCUUCUUUUGAGGCAUUUCUAGUUAUAUUUCAACUCAAUUGACCCUAAAAUACCUUCACUGCCAAAAUUUAAAACUACCUAGUGCGACACACAAAAAUAAGAAGAAGAAAGAAAACUAUUUUGGAAUUACAUUGGAUUCCGUCUACAAGACAACUGAUUUUAGAGCUGACUCCGGAAAAUGGGUACAAAGUUUUAUAAUUUUUAACGGUAAAUCCUGAAAAGAAAAGUUUUCUGAGUGGAGAGCACACGGGCAUCUGUUUUAAAAAUUUUCAGUACGUUUAAAAUCUGAAAAUUAAAUUUAAACUUAAAAGUUGCACAGUUCAAAUUAGCUCGACUCAGAAUCAAAUAUCACGAGACAUAGUCAGAUUCCAUAUUGACUGAGUCAUUGUAAACGUAAGAUUUAUAGGCUGAGUAUGGACUGGUUUCCGAGUGAGGGCUGACAAUCUUGGGCAGAUGUGCGGAUUCGAGGAUCUCCGGUGGUAUCGUCGAGAGCGGCAAACUUCGUCCGUGAUGUCCGUGACCACCCCCUCCUGCAGGGACGUUGAUUACCUUGUAAACAUACACGAGGCAAAACGCUCAAUGAAUACAAAUAAAAUACAAUGAUGAUCAAGAGUAUAUGUAUGUCGAAGGUGAAACUGCAAAAUACGUAUCUCGUUUGCGGUGCGGUGUUUUUGAAAGCUCCGCUCCUAUUUUAUUGUUUAAAAAGGGACCAAAACAACAUCAUGGCUUGAAAUUUUCACAGAAUAUUCUUUAUAAAGAAGAAAAAAAUCACUGACAUUUUCAAAAAUGACGUUUUGUAGUUUUUCAUGUCGCAAAUAAAGAGCGAGCAGGUACAAUAUACGAUGGUAAUAGGCGCAGGGUGGGCCU